rnacentral:rRNA from 1 species
GACGAACGCUGGCGGCGUGCUUAACACAUGCAAGUCGAACGAAGAGCGAUGGAAGCUUGCUUCUAUCAAUCUUAGUGGCGAACGGGUGAGUAACGCGUAAUCAACCUGCCCUUCAGAGGGGGACAACAGUUGGAAACGACUGCUAAUACCGCAUACGAUCCAAUCUCGGCAUCGGGACUGGAUGAAAGGUGGCCUCUAUUUAUAAGCUAUCACUGAAGGAGGGGAUUGCGUCUGAUUAGCUAGUUGGGGGGGUAACGGCCCACCAAGGCGAUGAUCAGUAGCCGGUCUGAGAGGAUGAACGGCCACAUUGGGACUGAGACACGGCCCAGACUCCUACGGGAGGCAGCAGUGGGGAAUCUUCCGCAAUGGACGAAAGUCUGACGGAGCAACGCCGCGUGAGUGAUGACGGCCUUCGGGUUGUAAAGCUCUGUUAAUCGGGACGAAUGGUUCUUGUGCGAAUAGUGCGAGGAUUUGACGGUACCGGAAUAGAAAGCCACGGCUAACUACGUG